GACGAACGCUGGCGGCGUGCUUAACACAUGCAAGUCGAACGGAAAGGCCCUGCUUUUGUGGGGUGCUCGAGUGGAGAACGGGUGAGUAACACGUGAGUAACCUGCCCUUGACUUUGGUAUAACUUCAGGAAACUGGGGCUAAUACCGGAUAGAAGCUCCUGCUGCAUGGUGGGGGUUGGUAAGUUUCGGUGGUUGGGGAUGGCCUCGCGGCUUAUUAGUUUGUUGGUGGGGUACUGGCCUACCAAGGUUUUGGUGGGUAGCCGGCCUGGGAGGGUAACCGGCUUCUUGGGGAUUAGGGUACGACCAAGAGUCGUGCGGGAGGCAGCAGGGGGAAAAGUUGCACAAUGGUCCAAACCCUUAUGCAGCACCGCCGUGUGCGGGAUGACGGCCUUCGGGUGGUAAUCCGCUUUGGUAUGUGAGGAAGCGUGAGUGACGGUAAUGAGUAAAGAAGCACCGGCUAACUACGUG
rnacentral:rRNA from 1 species